rnacentral:rRNA from 1 species
AACGAACGCUGGCGGCAGGCCUAACACAUGCAAGUCGAGCGGACCCUUCGGGGUUAGCGGCGGACGGGUGAGUAACGCGUGGGAACGUGCCCUUUGCUUCGGAAUAGCCCUGGGAAACUGGGAGUAAUACCGGAUACGCCCUUUUGGGGAAAGAUUUAUCGGCGAAGGAUCGGCCCGCGUUGGAUUAGGUAGUUGGUGGGGUAAUGGCCUACCAAGCCGACGAUCCAUAGCUGGUUUGAGAGGAUGAUCAGCCACUGGGACUGAGACACGGCCCAGACUCCUACGGGAGGCAGCAGUGGGGAAUCUUAGACAAUGGGGGAAACCCUGAUCUAGCCAUGCCGCGUGAGCGAUGAAGGCCUUAGGGUUGUAAAGCUCUUUCACCGGGGAAGAUAAUGACGGUACCCGGAGAAGAAGCCCCGGCUAACUCCGUG